AUCAAAAUAAAAAAUUUGAUUGUCAAAUUUUUGUUUUGUACUUUUGAGAUUCCUUUUUCUUCCUUUAAGUUCAAAGGAGUGAUUUGUAAAUAAAAGUAACUUAGUGACUUGCUAGUGAUAGAAAAAGUGCGGUUAUCGAAGUAUUCAAUAGAAAAUUUCAUAUUCAUAAAAUGGCAACAAAUAAUAUGGAUGAAGAACAAGCUCUUCGGGAGUGCGAAGCUUACGUUCAAAAUCACAAUAUUCAACAAAUACUUAAGGACUGCAUCGUUCAAUUAUGCGUCAGCCGUCCAACAAAUCCCAUUUCGUUUUUGAGAGAACAUUUUCAAAAGCUGGAAAGGGUUGUAUCCUCUCUUCUGAAGUUUUCCGCUUUCUAGAGAAUGAUGAAGAAGUAGAAAGCCCACCUUUAUUUAUAUACAUUCUGGGUAGCAGAACCACAGUGGAUCUGAAAAUGUUUUACUUUGACAUAAUUGUGAAUGUUAUUUUGGGUUUAUUGUCGAUUUUCUACUAUUUAUUCAUUAGAAAUGUUCUUGUAGCUUAACAUUAGUCUGCCAGUCAGCUGUUUUGAAAGAGGAAUUUUUAAAUUUGACUUCAACAUAACUUUAGGUUUAUUUUAUCUAUUAGAACCUAAUCACAAUCAUUCAUUUUUUGAAGAACUGAAAAAAAGUUACUACUGAAAUCUGAAAUAACUCCUUUUGAAGCAUUUUGUUGGAUUAGAGACAAAACAUUCCUAUUAGGCUUCGUUAUGUGUAUGUUACUCAGUGUCUCCUUCUCCGUUAAACAUUAUAUUGGCAAUAAAUCAAUGUUUAUUUAAAAGUG